rnacentral:rRNA from 1 species
AUGAAACACCAGGCUGACAAGAAGCGUUCAGCCCGGACAUUUCAAGUGGGCGAUCAGGUAUACUUGAAGCUGCAACCAUACAUUCAGACAUCGGUUGCCCCCUGUACCAACCACAAGCUGUUGUUUAAGUUCUACGGACCGUUCUCAAUCAUCCGCAAGAUCAAUGACGUGGCCUACGAACUCCAACUGCCGGCUUAUUCCACGGUGCACCCGGUUUUCCAUGUAUCGCAACUCCGCCAAGCUCUUCUACCAGGUACUGCUGUUACUCCCGUGCUCCCUGUUUGCACUGAUGAUUUGAUGGUGCCUGUGGAGAUCCUUCAAACAAGAUGGCACAAGAGAAAAGGGACGGUGGUCGAGCAAGUCCAAGUUCGCUGGUCCAACCCUUCAACCAUGGGUGUCACCUGGGAGGAUAAAGAAGCCCUUCACGCUCGUUUUCCUCUGACAGCGACUUGGGGGCAAGCCGCUGGUCAAGGAGGGAAGGAUGUCAGCGUCUCUGACGUGGACCCAGCCCAUGGUGCACGGCCCAAGCGUGCACGCGUGGCCAACAAGCGAGUGCUGGGCCCGGAGUGGGUGACAGCGGCCCAGUCCCACACGGCGACUACUUAA